rnacentral:rRNA from 1 species
UACAGAGGGUGCAAGCGUUGUUCGGAAUUACUGGGCGUAAAGCGCGUGUAGGCGGCCCUGCAAGUCGGAUGUGAAAUCCCACGGCUCAACCGUGGAAGUGCAUUCGAAACUGCAGGGCUAGAGUCCUGGAGAGGAAAGUGGAAUGCUUGGUGUAGAGGUGAAAUGCGUAGAUAUCAAGAGGAACACCGGUGGCGAAGGCGGCCUUCUGGACAGUGACUGACGCUGAGACGCGAAAGCGUGGGGAGCAAACAGG